AAGAUCGAAGAUGAUGAUCUCAUCAGUUACAUCUUAAAUGGACUGGACUCUGACAAUAAUCCAUUUGUCUCAGUAUUGAUC
rnacentral:snoRNA from 1 species